AGAGUUUGAUCCUGGCUCAGAGUGAACGCUGGCGGCAGGCCUAACACAUGCAAGUCGAACGGCAGCACAGCAGUAGCAAUACUGUGGGUGGCGAGUGGCGGACGGGUGAGGAAUACAUCGGAAUCUGCCUAGUCGUGGGGGAUAACGUAGGGAAACUUACGCUAAUACCGCAUACGACCUACGGGUGAAAGCGGGGGAUCGCAAGACCUCGCGCGAUUAGAUGAGCCGAUGUCCGAUUAGCUAGUUGGCGGGGUAAUGGCCCACCAAGGCGACGAUCGGUAGCUGGUCUGAGAGGAUGAUCAGCCACACUGGAACUGAGACACGGUCCAGACUCCUACGGGAGGCAGCAGUGGGGAAUAUUGGACAAUGGGCGCAAGCCUGAUCCAGCCAUGCCGCGUGGGUGAAGAAGGCCUUCGGGUUGUAAAGCCCUUUUGUCCGGAAAGAAAAGCACUGGAUUAAUACUUCGGUGUUCUGACGGUACCGGAAGAAUAAGCACCGGCUAACUUCGUGCCAGCAGCCGCGGUAAUACGAAGGGUGCAAGCGUUACUCGGAAUUACUGGGCGUAAAGCGUGCGUAGGUGGUUCGUUAAGUCUGAUGUGAAAGCCCUGGGCUCAACCUGGGAAUUGCAUUGGAUACUGGCGGGCUAGAGUGCGGUAGAGGAUGGCGGAAUUCCCGGUGUAGCAGUGAAAUGCGUAGAGAUCGGGAGGAACAUCUGUGGCGAAGGCGGCCAUCUGGACCAGCACUGACACUGAGGCACGAAAGCGUGGGGAGCAAACAGGAUUAGAUACCCUGGUAGUCCACGCCCUAAACGAUGCGAACUGGAUGUUGGGUGCAACUAGGCACUCAGUAUCGAAGCUAACGCGUUAAGUUCGCCGCCUGGGGAGUACGGUCGCAAGACUGAAAC
rnacentral:rRNA from 1 species